UACGUAGGGUGCGAGCGUUGUCCGGAAUUAUUGGGCGUAAAGGGCUCGUAGGCGGUUUGUCGCGUCGGGAGUGAAAACUCAGGGCUUAACCCCGAGCCUGCUUCCGAUACGGGCAGACUAGAGGUAUGCAGGGGAGAACGGAAUUCCUGGUGUAGCGGUGAAAUGCGCAGAUAUCAGGAGGAACACCUGCGGCGAAGGCGGGUUGCUGGGCUGACACUGACGCUGAAGCGCGAAAGCUAGGGGAGCGAACGGG
rnacentral:rRNA from 1 species